CGCCGCUCACGCGACUGGCGAUCAGGGGCACAAGCUGCCCCGAGGUGGGCCACCACCGGGGAGCGUGAGGCGGUUGCCAAACCGCCAUCAGCCGUUCGCCUGGGCAGCCCUG
rnacentral:ncRNA from 2 species